GGACAGGGGACUCAGUCUCUGAUUUUGCUUUCCUCUAUAUUCUCCGGAUAUAUUCCCUCUCUUGUCCGGAUCUGCGGGGGGGGGGGUGUCCCGCACCCAAAGACCACUCCAUUAAAAACAAGAGUGCGUCAUGAAAGGGGAGGGGUAGCAUGACGCCUGCAAGGGCGAGUUUACAGGGUCCUGGAUUGUGUUUCCCUUGGGCUGGGGGAGGGGAACUGGGGACGGGGGUACUAGGGAGCUGUGAGACACUACCACAGGGGUAGUAUAGUCUGAGGAAGGAAGAAUGAGAAGGGACAGGCGGAGGGAGUGAGAAGAACAAACUGGCGCCUGGGUCUCACGUUGGUUUAUUUGUUGGCUUCAAGUCCCAAUUGAUGUCCAUUAGCACGACACGAAAGUGAGGAGCUGUUAAUGCGGACUAUGAAUCGAUCCGUGUCAUUAUGGAUUAAGGGCCAGAAUCUAUCAUCGAGUAGGGCAGGGAGAGCUGGAUGAAUGGAAAGAAGGGAAAGAAAAGAUACAGCUCGUAGGAGACUCACCUGGCCAGCCCCUCCCCCAAGCUCAGGUGGGAGUCAAACUGCCCCUCCCCUCCCCCACCGAAAGUCUAGACAGAAAGAAAGCACAGCACAGGCCUCGGAGUCCAGGAGGGAAUCUGGAGGGGGCGCUGGAGGAGUGGGAAACGGGGAUCAGGGAAUGGGAGGGGGAAAAGACAACUCCCGACCGGCUAGCUUUACGUUUGAGGGCCCAGUGGGGGAGGGGCUAUGGGUUUGGUGUGGUGACCCCAGGCCUCAGUUUCUCCUCUCUGCGUAACAGGUUCCUCUUUUGGGCCCAGCGGUCGGCGAGGCCGCCAGACCUACACCCGCUACCAGACCCUGGAGCUGGAGAAGGAAUUUCACUACAAUCGCUACCUGACCCGCCGGCGGCGCAUAGAGAUCGCGCACGCCCUGUGCCUGACCGAGCGGCAGAUCAAGAUCUGGUUUCAGAACCGGCGCAUGAAGUGGAAAAAGGAGAGCAAACUGCUCAGUGCGUCUCAGCUCAGUGCGGAGGAGGAGGAAGAAAAGCCGGCCGAGUGAAGGUGCUGCCAAGGGAGGGGGGACGCGAAGGGAGAGGUCUGAGGGGGAACCUAGGGCACCCGAAAGCCCCAGAAGGCUCUGCGGUCGGGGGACUUGCUGUCCAGCGCAAGACGGGCGGGGCCCAGCGCUUUCCUGGAUGCCCCCCUCCUGCAGAGCUCUUCCUGGGCGCUUGAAGGAUGCCCACCCCAGCACCCCAGCGCCUCCUCCCUCCCCGAAGAACCCACCUUGGCCUCAGCAGGCUCUCUGGUGAGAACUGAGAAUCGGACUCACUUGAUGUCUCCUGGAAGCAGAGCAGAAUGCUCUUGUCCUUGUCGAGUCUCAUUUCCUUCAUGUCCCCCGUGCACGGUUCAAUGGUAGAUUCGCUGUCCCCUCAGCAGGGACCUGAAAGACUCCCUGACCCCAGACUUGUCUCUCCUACCCCCUCCCCAAAGCCACUGGAAGGAGCACAUACUACCUAGAAGUAAGAAGAGGAGCCUCAGAAGAAAACAAAGUUCUAUUUUAUUAAUUUUCUAUGUGUUGUGUUUGUAGUCUUGUCUUAGCUCUGGACGUGAAAUACUUCGGUAAUAAUAUUAAUAUUAUUAAUAAUGAUUAUGAUGAUGAUGAUGAUAAUAAAGAUGUGAAAACCCGCAGCUCAAUCAC
rnacentral:lncRNA from 1 species